rnacentral:rRNA from 1 species
UACGUAGGGGGCGAGCGUUGUCCGGAUUUAUUGGGCGUAAAGAGCGUGUAGGCGGCCAGGUAGGUCUGCUGUGAAAACUCGAGGCUCAACCUCGAGACGUCGGCGGAAACCAUCUGGCUAGAGUCCGGAAGAGGAGAGUGGAAUUCCUGGUGUAGCGGUGAAAUGCGCAGAUAUCAGGAGGAACACCGGUGGCGAAGGCGGCUUUCUGGACAGAUACCGACGCUGAGGCACGAAAGCUAGGGGAGCAAACAGG